GGCUUGGCGGUGGGACAGGGAGGUGCGGACGGAGCCUCCCUGCACAGCACCGCCCCUGGGCGGUGUUGGAGGAAACGCCGGUGGGGAAGAUCGGUCUCAGAUGUUUGAGGGACGCCAGGUGUUCGGACGGUUCCUCUAAAGGUCUGGAGGCCACGACAAGGCGCUGAGACCAUUUAGGAGAGCGCAGCCCUGGAGAAGAGAGCAAAGGACUGUAUCUCAGGAACCCGGACAGUUGUGAUGUUGGCUGACAGGGAUCCUGGGAAGGAAAUGUGAAAAUGAAGAGCAGGUAUUAGGAGAAAUGGACAGACAAGUGUUCCAGAAACUGAGGUUAAGAGGGUGACCUAAACCAAAGGUAGCAAUGACUUCGAAGACUUUCUGCCCUCUGGAGGGAGGAAGGGUGCUGGUGGAAGAUACUCAAGUAACUGCCCUUGGAAACUGACCUAUGAGCAGCACAGAAGAUGAAGGAGAAGAGGGACAUCAAGCAGAGAAAUGAGGAGGGUUCCUGAUCUCACCUGAAGACAAGCAUGUGCCCUGGAACAAGAAUUUUUCUGUCUUUCCUCAGUCCCAGAGGCAGGUUCUGGGACAGACUUCGGCCUCCCAAGGGGAUGUUACUGCCAAGCAAGAAGGAAACCCCAUAAAGGAGAUAUCCUGACUCUAGGGAAAGGUGGCAGCUUGGACAUGGACCUCCUCUGAAUUCACCCUCUUAUCUUUGGGCUGCACAAAGGUACCUCUGCAGUGGCCACUGUGAGCCAGGCGGUGAGGAGAAAAUGAGGCCGGGCAGGGCAUGGAGGACCUCUGAAUCCAGGACUUACUUCCCUUUCUGGGGGAAGGAGAAGGGGUGGAAGUGAAACAGCUCAGCGGGGCUCAGCCGACCAGAAAACGUCAGGAGGGACUUCUCGGCGUCUGGGAAAGAGGCGAGAACCGACAUGGCUGAGAAAAGUCCUAACCUAUGUGGGGUUCAGGGAUAAGAGGAAGAGAACAAAAGUGGAGACAGGAUAAUCACCUUCCUUUUAAGGGGAUCAAUUGGAAAUACAUCUAUGAAAUUGAUCCUGGACUAUUUUUUAUUUGUAGUAACUUUAGUGAAUGGAUAAUUUUCUUCAUAAUUUUAUGUUGAUUUUUUGUACCAUAUAAGAACCCACUUGCUUAUUUUUAAGUCAUGUUAUAUUUUACCCUUUCAUUCCUUUGAUAAUCUUGGAGGACUCUGAUGUUUCCAGACAUGGAAUCAAAAUGCAAAAAAUACUAUUUCACUUCAAUUACUACUUUUAUUUCUUCUUAAAAUUUUUAUCUUCUUUAUACAAGAUUUCUCUAAUAUUUUACUACUUAGUCUAAAAUUAACUCUGCUUAAUAAAUUUUUUUUUUAAA